CGGGACCCGAAAGAUGGUGAACUAUGCCUGAGCGGGGCGAAGCCAGAGGAAACUCUGGUGGAGGCUCGAAGCGAUACUGACGUGCAAAUCGUUCGUCUGACUUGGGUAUAGGGGCGAAAGACUACACGAACCAUCUAGUAGCUGGUUCCCUCCGAAGUUUCCCUCAGGAUAGCUGGAGCCCAUUACGAGUUCUAUCAGGUAAAGCCAAUGAUUAGAGGCAUUGGGGACGCAACGUCCUCGACCUAUUCUCAAACUUUAAAUAGGUAGGAUGGCUCGGC
rnacentral:ncRNA from 1 species